rnacentral:rRNA from 1 species
AUACGGAGGAUCCGAGCGUUAUCCGGAUUUAUUGGGUUUAAAGGGAGCGUAGGUGGAUUGUUAAGUCAGUUGUGAAAGUUUGCGGCUCAACCGUAAAAUUGCAGUUGAAACUGGCAGUCUUGAGUACAGUAGAGGUGGGCGGAAUUCGUGGUGUAGCGGUGAAAUGCUUAGAUAUCACGAAGAACUCCGAUUGCGAAGGCAGCUCACUAGACUGUUACUGACACUGAUGCUCGAGAGUGUGGGUAGCAAACAAGAUUAGAUACCCUGGUAGUCCACACAGUAAACUAUGUAUACUCGCUGUUUGCGAUAUGCAGUAAGCGGCCAAGCGAAAGCAUUAAGUAUUCCACCUGGGGAGCACGCCGGCAACGGUGAAACUCAAAUUAAUUGACGGGG